GCCAACUCCUCCUUGUUCCCUCCCUUCUACACCAUGUUCCACCUCCAGAUAGAGAUUUGAGAGAGGCUUUAGAGAGAGAAAGAAAAAUUAAAAAGGGGUUCUUGAUCUUUCUUGGUGAUUAGAAUCAAUCCCCAGAAUCCUAUACAAGGCUAUUUCAAGUAAUAUAAGGAAAAAGAUCCUGAUCCAAGCUGAAUAAUGAAGCUUGCAAGGAAGCUAGCACUCCGAAGACUUUGGAGUUCUGAUCGAGACAUCUUCGUGUGGAUACCAGCA
rnacentral:lncRNA from 1 species